rfam:Schistosoma rodhaini strain Burundi genome assembly, scaffold: SROB_scaffold0001787
AUUCAGCUGACGAGUCCCAAAUAGGAUGGAACGCUUUUCCUGGAU